AGUUAUAAAUUUUAUCCAUUUCUACCGUUAAAAUUUAGCGUGGUUAACGGAAUAACCAAACAGUUACACAUGAACUAACAUGAAGAGACCAAUUUUUAACGAUAAAAAUGGAUGAAAUUUUUAACA
rfam:Gossypium raimondii Chr07_contig_18, whole genome shotgun sequence.